GCCUGGCUGGCUCAGUCGGUAAAGCAUGUGAUCUUAAUUUUGGGGUUGUGAGUUCAAGUCCCAUGCUGGGCA
rnacentral:tRNA from 1 species